rnacentral:rRNA from 1 species
CACGUAGGGGGCAAGCGUUGUCCGGAUUUAUUGGGCGUAAAGAGCUCGUAGGCGGUUUGUCGCGUCUGCUGUGAAAACUCGGGGCUUAACCCCGGGCCUGCAGUGGGUACGGGCAGACUAGAGUGCGGUAGGGGAGAGUGGAAUUCCUGGUGUAGCGGUGAAAUGCGCAGAUAUCAGGAAGAACACCCGUGGCGAAGGCGGCUCUCUGGGACGGUACUGACGCUGAGACGCGAAAGCGUGGGGAGCAAACAGG